rnacentral:misc_RNA from 1 species
GCUACAAUUCAAACCUUGACAUUCCCUUCUUCCUUUCAUUGUAUAUUCAAAUUUUAAUGAUGAACACCAUCUGAAAAUAAUAAUUUGUUUCAUGAAUGAUAUUCAUAUGGAAUCUUAGAUCUUUAGCUGCUUAAAAGAUUUUUCUCUCUUUCUCUAACACUUGUGUGCACAGAAAAGGUAAGCAGAGCUCGAUUUCAUUGCUCAUUUGCCUUUGAACUUUUUUU